rnacentral:lncRNA from 1 species
GCAAUUGGACUGAAAACUUCCCUAAUUUGCAGUAAAAUCAAGCGAUGACCCCCAAGCUAAAAUUCUGCAAUCAACUUCAAGGGUGGAAAUAACCAAAAGUUCCUGCAAAGAAAAGGAAAAAUUCAGUUAAGUACGCAAGAAAAUUAAUUAAAAAAAUUGCAAACGAAAAAUUGAAAAUUACGAUAAAAGAUAAUGAAUAAAACUAAUAAGUAAUCAUUGGUCGUGCUUGUUGACUUUCCACAGCUUUCCUCUUGAACAGGGUGACACUUAGCUUUUCACUUGCAAGUGAUGAUUUUAUGAUAUUGUACGGCGAAGCUUUGCUCUUUGGUUAUGUUGCAGUUCC